rnacentral:rRNA from 1 species
UGGGGGAUAUUGCACAAUGGGCGAAAGCCUGAUGCAGCGACGCCGCGUGGGGGAUGAAGGCCUUCGGGUUGUAAACUUCUUUUGCUCUGAACAAGGCAUGCCUUUGGGGUGUGUUGAGUGUAGGGGUUGAUUAGCGCCGGCUAACUACGUGCCAGCAGCCGCGGUAAUACGUAUGGCGCGAGCGUUGUCCGGAAUUAUCGGGCGUAAAGGGCUUGUAGGUGGCUGGUUGCGUCUGUCGUGAAAGCUCAUGGCUUAACUGUGGGUUUGCGGUGGGUACGGGCUGGCUUGAGUGCAGUAGAGGAGGCUGGAAUUCCUGGUGUAGCGGUGGAAUGCGCAGAUAUCAGGAGGAAUACCGGUGGCGAAGGCGGGUCUCUGGGCUGUUACUGACGCUGAGGAGCGAAAGCGUGGGGAGCGAACAGG